GUCCACAAAGCCAAAGUUCUUCUAGAAAAGGAAACGCUUGGGAGCAGUCAAGGGUCAAGGAGCGGGCUGAGUGCAUAUGGCCACAAGUGGAAGCAUGUGUCCACACAAUGUGGCCUUGUGUGUGCGAGCUAGUGAUGAGAAGCUAAGUGG